AUUGAACGCUGGCGGCAGGCCUAACACAUGCAAGUCGAGCGGAGCGGCGGACGGGUGAGUAAUGCCUAGGAAUCUGCCUGGUAGUGGGGGAUAACGUCCGGAAACGGGCGCUAAUACCGCAUACUAUCAGAUGAGCCUAGGUCGGAUUAGCUAGUUGGUGGGGUAAAGGCCUACCAAGGCGACGAUCCGUAACUGGUCUGAGAGGAUGAUCAGUCAAACGGGAACGGAGCCACGGUCCAGACUCCUACGUGAGGCAGCAUUGGGGAAUAUGGGACAAGGGGCGAAAGCCUGAGCCGGCCAUGCGGCGUGUGUGAAGAAGGUCUUCGGAUUGAAAAGCACUUUAAGUUGGGAGACGUUACCAACAGAAUAAGCACCGGCUAACUCCGUGCCAGCAGCCGCGGUAAUUC
rnacentral:rRNA from 1 species